rnacentral:lncRNA from 1 species
UAGUUUUACAGUGUAUGAGCGAGCUUGUGGAUUAUGCAGGCAGACAAUGUAUAGAUCUAACCUCGUAGCUCACUCAUAAUCCACAAGAUCGCUCAUACUUGAUGAAAUUUUGUGAAUAUUAUUUUUAAAAUGGACCACACAAGGAAAAUUUUUGCUGAAUUAUAUUUGAACAUGCAAAAUAUUACAACAACAUUUAUUUAUAGUCACUUUGGUCAGUUUGAAAAAUGGAGGAAUAUGACUUUAACAGAGUGUUGUAAUUGACAACAACGUUUCUAAGGUAAAAUGUCAUUGUGAGUAAC